rnacentral:rRNA from 1 species
GAUGAACGCUGGCGGCGUGCCUAAUACAUGCAAGUCGAGCGAACGGACGAGAAGCUUGCUUCUCUGAUGUUAGCGGCGGGCGGGUGUGUCACACGUGGAUAACCUACCUAUCAGACUGGGAUAACUUCGGGACACCGUAGCUAAUACCGGAUAAUAUUUUGAACCGCAGGGUUCAAAAGUGAGAGACGGUCUUGCUGUCUCUUCUAGAUGGAUCCGCGCUGCAUUAGCUAGUUGGUAAGGUAACGGGCUACCAAGGCAAGGAUGCCUGGCCGACCUGUGAGGCUGAUCGGCCACACUGGAGCUGAGACGCGGUCCAGACUCCUACGGGAGGCAGCAGUAGCGAAUCUUCCGCAAUGGGCGAAAGCCUGACGGAGCAACGGCGCGUGAGUGAUGAAGGUCUUCGGAUCGUAAAACUCUGUUAUUAGUGAAGAACAUAUGUGUAAGUAACUGUGCACAUCUUGACGGUACCUAAUCAGAAAGCCACGGCUAACUACGUG